rnacentral:lncRNA from 1 species
GGGGCAGCCCCCGCCCUCCUGGCUCUCCAUCCCGGCGGAUCUUUGAUAGACUGGAGUGUCGCCGCUGCCACCGCUUACCAUCUGAGUCCUUCUGAUUGGGAUUGGGUACCAGGCGGCAGUUAUCGGGACCAGGAGGCACAUAAUCUGGGAUGCCAUCAUUGUCAUCAUCCCCAUCACACUCAUCUCCAAGUCCAUCGUUAUCAGAGUCCAGCUGGGAGCUAUUUGGCAGCUGUGGGCAGUUGUCCUUGGUGUCCUGAUGCCCAUCCCCAUCGCUAAUCAGAAGAACAGGUUGGUGAAAGUCCCGAACUUUGUCUCCCCACCCAGAGGACAACUGGCCAGGAAAUCUGCCUGUUUCUUGUCUCACCCUCUAGUCCACACUCUGCCUAACACUACGCCCUACCUCACAUUCCUAUUGACAUCUGCUGCAGGUAAUCUCUCCUCACCCAGGCCAACGUCCACAAGCCUGCCUCCCUAUUUCACAGAGACUUCCUAGCUUCCCUGCUUCAUCCCCACCUGAUCCAAAUUCUCACAGGUCCCCCAGCCACCCCUUCAGCCCCAGGCCUGCACCAUCCCCAUCCACGUCGUUGUCACAGGCAUCUCCUUCCCCAUUGCCAUCUGUGUCCUUCUGGUCAUUGUUGGGAACGUUGGGGCAAUUGUCACAGGCAUCACCAAAUGAAUCUGUAUCUGA